rnacentral:rRNA from 1 species
CCUACGGGAGGCAGCAGUGAGGAAUAUUGGUCAAUGGACGAGAGUCUGAACCAGCCAAGUAGCGUGAAGGAUGACUGCCCUAUGGGUUGUAAACUUCUUUUAUAAGGGAAUAAAACGAGGCACGUGUGCCUUUUUGCAUGUACUUUAUGAAUAAGCAUCGGCUAACUCCGUGCCAGCAGCCGCGGUAAUACGGAGGAUCCGAGCGUUAUCCGGAUUUAUUGGGUUUAAAGGGUGCGUAGUGGGGUUGUUAAGUCAGUUGUAAAAGUUGGGGGCUCAACCGUAAAUUUCCAUUAGUACUGGAAGUCUUGAGUACAGACGAGGUAGGCGGAAUUAGUUGGGGAGCGGUGAAAUGCUUAGAUAUCACGGAGAACUCCGAUUGCGAAGGCAGCUUACUAAACUGCCACUGACAUUGAUGCUCGAAAGUGUGGGUAUCAAACAGGAUUAGAUACCCGAGUAGUC